rnacentral:sRNA from 1 species
UUCUUUUCCUUCUUCACGGAUCUGUGCCCUUCGUCCUCUGCUUCGUGCGGAGUUGAUGUCGUGCAGCUCGAUAACUCAUGGAGCCAUCAACUUGUUAUGAUGUCAAUUUUCCUAUCGACAGGUCCCAGAAUGAUCGGGGGUAAUGGUUGCACUGCUCGUCGUCCUCCGUGGCGGCUGAUGCGGUGAUGACGGCCAUGCUCCCAGAGCGUUAUAUUCUAAACCAUUGUCCUAGGUCGUCGACCGAUGCGGAUGAGGCAAACCAUACGUCUUACAUAU